rnacentral:rRNA from 4 species
CUUGGUGGCUAUAGAGGUUGGGGUACACCUGUUCCCAUCCCGAACACAGAAGUUAAGCCAACCUUCGCCGAUGGUACUGACCAAUUAAGGGUCGGGAGAGUAGGGCGUCGCCAAGA